rnacentral:ribozyme from 1 species
AUGUGGGCUUUUGGUUUUGUUUUUUUUUUCUUUUUUCUUUUUUCUUUUCUUCUCAUGAGACUUGAAACGAACAGGAGGAAAAGAUUGGGUUGAAGAACA